rnacentral:ncRNA from 2 species
GGUUUGUGCGGGAUCACCACCUUUACCUAUGGUGUGUGCAGUGCUCCACUUCAGGAAGUGCCAUCCAUGUAGCUAAAACCUAUGAUUGGCACCUCUUUGAGUGUAGCAAUGUGCAACAGGUACAACAUCAGUGCUGGCCCUGAAA